rnacentral:rRNA from 1 species
UCGGGUGACGAGUGGCGGACGGGUGAGUAAUGUCUGGGAAACUGCCUGAUGGAGGGGGAUAACUACUGGAAACGGUAGCUAAUACCGCAUAACGUCUUCGGACCAAAGUGGGGGACCUUCGGGCCUCACACCAUCGGAUGUGCCCAGAUGGGAUUAGCUAGUAGGUGGGGUAAUGGCUCACCUAGGCGACGAUCCCUAGCUGGUCUGAGAGGAUGACCAGCCACACUGGAACUGAGACACGGUCCAGACUCCUACGGGAGGCAGCAGUGGGGAAUAUUGCACAAUGGGCGCAAGCCUGAUGCAGCCAUGCCGCGUGUAUGAAGAAGGCCUUCGGGUUGUAAAGUACUUUCAGCGGGGAGG